rnacentral:rRNA from 1 species
GAUGAACGCUGGCGGCGUGCCUAACACAUGCAAGUCGAGCGAAUGGAUUAAGAGCUUGCUCUUAUGAAGUUAGCGGCGGACGGGUGAGUAAAACGUGAGUAACCUGCCCAUAAGACUGGGAUAACCCCGGGAAACCGGGGCUAAUACCGGCUAACAUUUUGAACCGCAUGGUUCGAAAUUGAAAGGCGGCUUCGGCUGUCACUUAUGGAUGGACCCGCGUCGCAUUAGCUAGUUGGUGAGGGAACGGCUCACCAAGGCAACGAUGCGUAGCCGACCUGGGAGGGUGAUCGGCCACACUGGGACUGAGACACGGCCCAGACUCCUACGGGAGGCAGCAGUAGGGAAUCUUCCGCAAUGGACGAAAGUCUGACGGAGCAACGCCGCGUGAGUGAUGAAGGCUUUCGGGUCGUAAAACUCUGUUGUUAGGGAAGAACAAGUGCUAGUUGAAUAAGCUGGCACCUUGACGGUACCUAACCAGAAAGCCACGGCUAACUACGUGCCAGCCGCCGCGGUAA